CCGACACAGGUAGUCGAGGCGAGUAGCCUCAGGUGAGCGAGAGAACUCUCGUUAAGGAACUCGGCAAAAUGACCCCGUAACUUCGGGAGAAGGGGUGCUGACUUUUAGUCAGCCGCAGUGAAUAGGCCCAAGCAACUGUUUAUCAAAAACACAGCUCUCUGCUAAAUCGUAAGAUGAUGUAUAGGGGGUGACGCCUGCCCGGUGCUGGAAGGUUAAGAGGAGGGUUUAGCGUAAGCGAAGAUCUGAAUUGAAGCCCCAGUAAACGGCGGCCGUAACGAUAACGGUCCUAAGGUAGCGAAAUUCCUUGUCGGGUAAGUUCCGACCCGCACGAAAGGCGUAAUGAUUUGGGCACUGUCUCAACGAGAGACUCGGUGAAAUUUUAGUACCUGUGAAGAUGCAGGUUACCCGCGACAGGACGGAAAGACCCCAUGGAGCUUUACUGCAGUUUGAUAUUGAGUAUCUGUACCACAUGUACAGGAUAGGUAGGAGCCUAUGAAAUCGGGACGCCAGUUUCGAUUGAGGCGCUGUUGGGAUACUACCCUUGUGUUAUGGCUACUCUAACCCGGUAGGUUAAUCAUCUACGGAGACAGUGUCUGACGGGCAGUUUGACUGGGGCGGUCGCCUCCUAGAAGGUAACGGAGGCGCCCAAAGGUUCCCUCAGAAUGGUUGGAAAUCAUUCGCAGAGUGUUAAGGUAUAAGGGAGCUUGACUGCGAGAGCUACAACUCGAGCAGGGACGAAAGUCGGGCUUAGUGAUCCGGUGGUUCCGUAUGGAAGGGCCAUCGCUCAACGGAUAAAAGCUACCCUGGGGAUAACAGGCUUAUCUCCCCCAAGAGUUCACAUCGACGGGGAGGUUUGGCACCUCGAUGUCGGCUCGUCGCAUCCUGGGGCUGUAGUCGGUCCCAAGGGUUGGGCUGUUCGCCCAUUAAAGCGGCACGCGAGCUGGGUUCAGAACGUCGUGAGACAGUUCGGUCCCUAUUCGUCGCGGGCGUAGGAAAUUUGAGAGGAUCUGCUCCUAGUACGAGAGGACCAGAGUGGACUUACCGCUGGUGUACCAGUUGUCUCGCCAGAGGCAUCGCUGGGUAGCUAUGUAGGGAAGGGAUAAACGCUGAAAGCAUCUAAGUGUGAAGCCCACCUCAAGAUGAGAUUUCCCAUAACAUUAAGUUAGUAAGAGCCCUGAGAGAAGAUCAGGUAGAUAGGUUGGAAGUGUAAGUGUGGCGACACAUGUAGCGGACCAAUACUAAUCGCUCGAGGACUUAUCC
rnacentral:rRNA from 1 species